AUUGAACGCUGGCGGCAUGCCUUAUACAUGCAAGUCGAACGGCCGCGGGACCUUCGGGGUGCUGGCGAGUGGCGAACGGGUGAGUAAUGCAUCGGAACGUACCCGGGAGAGGGGGAUAACCGGCCGAAAGGCUGGCGAAUAUCGCACGAACUCGGAUGAGCAAAGCGGGGGACCUUCGGGCCUCGCGCUCUCGGCUCGGCCGAUGUCCGAUUAGGCUAGUUGGUGGGGUAAAGGCCCACCAAGGCGACGAUCGGUAGCGGGUCUGAGAGGAGGAUCCGCCACACUGGAACUGAGACACGGUCCAGACUCCUACGGGAGGCAGCAGUGGGGAAUCUUGGGCAAUGGGCGCAAGCCUGACCCAGCAAUGCCGCGUGGGUGAAGAAGGCCUUCGGAUUGUAAAGCCCUUUCGGCGGGGAAGAACUCGGUUAGGCGAAUAGUCUGGCGGGAUGACGGUACCCGCAGAGGAAGCCACGGCUAACUACGUG
rnacentral:rRNA from 1 species